rnacentral:rRNA from 1 species
CCUACGGGGGGCAGCAGUGAGGAAUAUUGGUCAAUGGACGAGAGUCUGAACCAGCCAAGUAGCGUGAAGGAUGACUGCCCUCUGGGUUGUAAACUUCUUUUAUAUGGGAGUAAAAUGUUCCACGUGUGGGGUUUUGUAUGUACCAUAUGAAUAAGGAUCGGCUAACUCCGUGCCAGCAGCCGCGGUAAUACGGAGGAUCCGAGCGUUAUCCGGAUUUAUUGGGUGUAAAGGGAGCGUAGGUGGAUUGUUAAGUCAGUUGUGAAAGUUUGCGGCUCAACCGUAAAGUUGCAGUUGAAACUGGCAGUCUUGAGUACAGGAGAGGUGAGCGGAAUUCGUGGUGUAGCGGUGAAAUGCUUAGAUAUCACGAAGAACUCCGAUUGCGAAGGCAGUUCACUGGACUGCAACUGACACUGAGGCUCGAAAGUGUGGGUAUCAAACAGGAUUAGAUACCCCGGUAGUC